rnacentral:rRNA from 1 species
UACGUAGGUGGCAAGCGUUGUCCGGAAUUAUUGGGCGUAAAGCGCGCGCAGGUGGUUUCUUAAGUCUGAUGUGAAAGCCCACGGCUCAACCGUGGAGGGUCAUUGGAAACUGGGGAACUUGAGUGCAGGAGAGAAGAGUGGAAUUCCACGUGUAGCGGUGAAAUGCGUAGAGAUCCGGAAGAACACCGGUGGCGAAGGCGGCCUGCUGGGCUAUGGCUGACACUGAGGCGCGACAGCGUGGGGAGCAAACAGG